CAUUGACAAAGGUCAGUGUGGUUAGACUAGUCCCCAAAGGCAUUUGGGUUUGAGACCCCUGAUUGAGACCAGUCCACUUGGCCUUGCCUUUAACCUUUCCUCAGGAGCCAGGAUUUUUGUCUGCACUAAUGCCACCCCCUGGAAGUCUGCACAUUUCUUGGUAAGCCUGCCCAGCUUUCCCACCCCAGAAGUCAUCACCUGAAAGCCACCCAGCCCAGUCCAUGCCUGGAACAAGCUCCCUCUGCUUGGAACUCAGGAGCUCCAUAAACAUCCACAGAGGGAGGAAAGAGGUGCCUUGAACCGUCCGAGGGCUGCCGCAUGUA